UAUUUUUGUUUUAUUGUAUAAAU
rnacentral:siRNA from 1 species